UACGUAGGGUGCAAGCGUUGUCCGGAAUUAUUGGGCGUAAAGAGCUCGUAGGCGGUUUGUCGCGUCGAAUGUGAAAACCCGGGGCUCAACCCCGGGCCUGCAUUCGAUACGGGCAGACUAGAGUUCGGUAGGGGAGUCUGGAAUUCCAGGUGUAGCGGUGAAAUGCGUAGAUAUCUGGAGGAAUACCGGUGGCGAAGGCGGCAUCCUGGACCGACAUUGACGCUGAACGGCGAAAGCUAGGGGAGCAAACGGG
rnacentral:rRNA from 1 species